rnacentral:rRNA from 1 species
UACGUAGGUGGCAAGCGUUAUCCGGAAUUAUUGGGCGUAAAGCGUGCGCAGGCGGUUUUGUAAGUCUGUCGUGAAAGCCCCGGGCUCAACCUGGGAAUUGCGAUGGAGACUGCAAGGCUUGAAUCUGGCAGAGGGGGGUAGAAUUCCACGUGUAGCAGUGAAAUGCGUAGAGAUGUGGAGGAACACCGAUGGCGAAGGCAGCCCCCUGGGUCAAGAUUGACGCUCAUGCACGAAAGCGUGGGGAGCAAACAGG